rnacentral:rRNA from 1 species
GACGAACGCUGGCGGCGUGCUUAACACAUGCAAGUCGAACGGAAAGGCCUGUCCUUCCUUGUGUUGGACGGGUACUCGAGUGGCGAACGGGUGAGUACCACGUGAGUGAUCUGCCCCCAACUUGGGUAUAAGCCUGGGAAACUGUGUCUAAUUCCCGGUAGGACUGCAGGGUGGUGCCUGUGGUGGAACACGAUUUUCUAGUGGGUGGGGAUGAGCUCGAGGCCUAUCAGCGUGUUGGUGGGGUACUGGCCUACCAAGGCGGCGACGGGGAGCCGGACUGGGAGGGGGGACGGCGAAAUUGGGACUGGGACACGGCCCAGACUGGUGGGGGAGGCAGCGGUGGGGAAUAUAGGACAAUGGGCGGAAGCCAGAUGCAGCGAGGCCGUGUGGGAGAUGACGGCCUUCGGGUUGUAAACUGCUGUCGAACGAGAGGAAGCCGCUUGGUUGGAAGGGUGGUGACGGUAGUGGUAGAAGAAGCACCGGCUAACUACGUG